CACGUAGGCACCAAGCGUUGUCCGGAUUUAUUGGGCGUAAAGAGCUCGUAGGCGGCUCGGUAAGUCGGGUGUGAAACCUCCAGGCUCAACCUGGAGACGCCACCUGAUACUGCUGUGGCUAGAGUCCGGUAGGGGAGCGUGGAAUUCCUGGUGUAGCGGUGAAAUGCGCAGAUAUCAGGAGGAACACCAGCGGCGAAGGCGGCGCUCUGGGCCGGAACUGACGCUGAGGAGCGAAAGCGUGGGGAGCGAACAGG
rnacentral:rRNA from 1 species